UGGGGGCCGCGAUCCCCCCGUGAGGCUUCGGCCCAAGCGUCGC
rnacentral:ncRNA from 1 species